rnacentral:rRNA from 11 species
ACAGACAACCAGGAGGUUGGCUUAGAAGCAGCCACCCUUGAAAGAGUGCGUAAUAGCUCACUGGUCGAGUGGUUCUGCGCCGACAAUGUAGUGGGGCUCAAGCACACCGCCGAAGCCGCGGCAAACAUUUUUUGUUUGGGUAGGGGAGCGUCGUGCAUGUGUUGAAGCGUUACCGUAAGGCGGCGUGGAGUGUGUGCGAGUGAGAAUGCAGGCAUGAGUAGCGAAUUGGAAGGUGAGAAUCCUUCCCGCCGGAUGACUAAGGGUUCCUGGGUCAAGUUCGUCUUCCCAGGGUGAGUCGGGACCUAAGGCGAGGCCGACAGGCGUAGUCGAUGGACAACGGGUUGAUAUUCCCGUACCGGCGAAGAACCGCCCAUGCUGAGCCCGGUGAUGCUAACCACCCAAAACUGGCCGAUCCUUCGGGAGAGGUCAGCGGAGCGUGGGACCCGAACCGGUAGUAGGUAAGCGCAUUAACAGGGGUGACGCAGCAGGGUAGCCACCGCGUGGCGAUGGUAGUCCACGUCUAAGGGUGUAGGGCGAGGUGUAGGCAAAUCCGCAUCUCAUACGAGCCUGAGACCUGAUAGUGACCGCGUAUGCGGGAAGUAGGGUGAUCCCAUACUGCCUAGAAAAGCCUCGGCGUCAGGUUCUAGCCGCCCGUACCCCAAACCGACUCAGGUGGUCAGGUAGAGAAUACUAAGGAGAUCGAGAGAAUCGUGGUUAAGGAACUCGGCAAAAUGCCCCCGUAACUUCGGGAGAAGGGGGGCCCUAGCGUUGAAGCCACUUGCUGGCUAGGCGCGACGGCCGCAGAGACCAGGGAGAAGCGACUGUUUACUAAAAACACAGGUCCAUGCGAAGUCGCAAGACGAUGUAUACGGACUGACGCCUGCCCGGUGCUGGAAGGUUAAGAGGAACGGUUAGCCGCAAGGCGAAGCUGAGAAUUUAAGCCCCAGUAAACGGCGGUGGUAACUAUAACCAUCCUAAGGUAGCGAAAUUCCUUGUCGGGUAAGUUCCGACCU